rnacentral:rRNA from 1 species
GAUGAACGCUGGCGGCGUGCCUAAUACAUGCAAGUCGAGCGAACGGACGAGAAGCUUGCUUCUCUGAUGUUAGCGGCGGACGGGUGAGUAACACGUGGAUAACCUACCUAUAAGACUGGGAUAACUUCGGGAAACCGGAGCUAAUACCGGAUAAUAUUUUGAACCGCAUGGUUCAAAAGUGAAAGACGGUCUUGCUGUCACUUAUAGAUGGAUCCGCGCUGCAUUAGCUAGUUGGUAAGGUAACGGCUUACCAAGGCAACGAUGCAUAGCCGACCUGAGAGGGUGAUCGGCCACACUGGAACUGAGACACGGUCCAGACUCCUACGGGAGGCAGCAGUAGGGAAUCUUCCGCAAUGGGCGAAAGCCUGACGGAGCAACGCCGCGUGAGUGAUGAAGGUCUUCGGAUCGUAAAACUCUGUUAUUAGGGAAGAACAUAUGUGUAAGUAACUGUGCACAUCUUGACGGUACCUAAUCAGAAAGCCACGGCUAACUACGUGCCAGCAGCCGCGGUAAUACGUAGGUGGCAAGCGUUAUCCGGAAUUAUUGGGCGUAAAGCGCGCGUAGGCGGUUUUUUAAGUCUGAUGUGAAAGCCCACGGCUCAACCGUGGAGGGUCAUUGGAAACUGGAAAACUUGAGUGCAGAAGAGGAAAGUGGAAUUCCAUGUGUAGCGGUGAAAUGCGCAGAGAUAUGGAGGAACACCAGUGGCGAAGGCGACUUUCUGGUCUGUAACUGACGCUGAUGUGCGAAAGCGUGGGGAUCAAACAGGAUUAGAUACCCUGGUAGUCCACGCCGUAAACGAUGAGUGCUAAGUGUUAGGGGGUUUCCGCCCCUUAGUGCUGCAGCUAACGCAUUAAGCACUCCGCCUGGGGGGUACGACCGCAAGGUUGAAACUCAAAGGAAUUGACGGGGACCCGCACAAGCGGUGGAGCAUGUGGUUUAAUUCGAAGCAACGCGAAGAACCUUACCAAAUCUUGACAUCCUUUGACAACUCUAGAGAUAGAGCCUUCCCCUUCGGGGGACAAAGUGACAGGUGGUGCAUGGUUGUCGUCAGCUCGUGUCGUGAGAUGUUGGGUUAAGUCCCGCAACGAGCGCAACCCUUAAGCUUAGUUGCCAUCAUUAAGUUGGGCACUCUAAGUUGACUGCCGGUGACAAACCGGAGGAAGGUGGGGAUGACGUCAAAUCAUCAUGCCCCUUAUGAUUUGGGCUACACACGUGCUACAAUGGACAAUACAAAGGGCAGCGAAACCGCGAGGUCAAGCAAAUCCCAUAAAGUUGUUCUCAGUUCGGAUCGUAGUCUGCAACUCGACUACAUGAAGCUGGAAUCGCUAGUAAUCGUAGAUCAGCAUGCUACGGUGAAUACGUUCCCGGGUCU